rfam:Taeniopygia guttata chromosome 1A, whole genome shotgun sequence.
UCAUGAGUUCAUGCUUCGACACCAUGGAUCUCCAGGUGGGUCAAGAUUAUAGAGAUACACCAACCUGGAGGACUCCAUGCUGUCGAGCUGUUCAUAA